rnacentral:misc_RNA from 1 species
AACUGAUACUACCUGCGGGAACCUGCGGAGGGAUCAUUACCGAGUUCGGAGUUCUGCUCCAACUCCCACCCUUGUUUACUCAAACGUUGCUUCGGCGAGACGUUGGAAAGCAACCAUCGGCAAUUCAUAAGAUGACCCGAUGCGUGCUCGCCGGACUCCAAAUACUCUGAGAUUAUGUAUCGUCAGAUGAAACAAGCAAUUAAAUAAAAACUUUCAACAAUGGAUCUCUAGAUCGGAAGA